CAGAAUGAUGAAAUCCAGGAGAUGUAGCAGACUGAGCAGAGAACGACGUGUAGGGUCGACCCGUCGAGUCCGUGA
rfam:Musa acuminata subsp. malaccensis Doubled-haploid Pahang (DH-Pahang) genomic chromosome, chr6